UACGAAGGGGGCUAGCGUUGCUCGGAAUCACUGGGCGUAAAGGGUGCGUAGGCGGGUCUUUAAGUCAGGGGUGAAAUCCUGGAGCUCAACUCCAGAACUGCCUUUGAUACUGAAGAUCUUGAGUUCGGGAGAGGUGAGUGGAACUGCGAGUGUAGAGGUGAAAUUCGUAGAUAUUCGCAAGAACACCAGUGGCGAAGGCGGCUCACUGGCUGAAUACUGACGCUAAGGCGCGAAAGCGUGGGGAGCAAACAGG
rnacentral:rRNA from 1 species